AGUGAACGCUAGCGGCAGGCCUAACACAUGCAAGUCGAGCGGCAGCGGGUCCUUCGGGAUGCCGGCGAGCGGCGGACGGGUGAGGAAUGCGUCGGAAUCUGCCUUUUUGUGGGGGAUAACGUAGGGAAACUUACGCUAAUACCGCAUACGACCUACGGGUGAAAGUGGGGGACCGCAAGGCCUCACGCAGAAAGAUGAGCCGACGUCGGAUUAGCUAGUUGGCGGGGUAAAGGCCCACCAAGGCGACGAUCCGUAGCUGGUCUGAGAGGAUGAUCAGCCACACUGGAACUGAGACACGGUCCAGACUCCUACGGGAGGCAGCAGUGGGGAAUAUUGGACAAUGGGCGCAAGCCUGAUCCAGCCAUGCCGCGUGUGUGAAGAAGGCCUUCGGGUUGUAAAGCACUUUUGUCCGGAAAGAAAUCCUGUCGGCUAAUACCCGGCGGGGAUGACGGUACCGGAAGAAUAAGCACCGGCUAACUUCGUG
rnacentral:rRNA from 1 species